GCUGGCGGCAUGCCUUACACAUGCAAGUCGGACGGCAGCGCGGGCUUCGGCCUGGCGGCGAGUGGCGAACGGGUGAGUAAUACAUCGGAACGUAUCCUGGAGUGGGGGAUAGCCCGGCGAAAGCCGGAUUAAUACCGCAUACGCUCUGAGGAGGAAAGCGGGGGACCUUCGGGCCUCGCGCUCAAGGGGCGGCCGAUGGCGGAUUAGGUAGUUGGUGGGGUAAAGGCCUACCAAGCCGACGAUCCGUAGCUGGUCUGAGAGGACGACCAGCCACACUGGGACUGAGACACGGCCCAGACUCCUACGGGAGGCAGCAGUGGGGAAUUUUGGACAAUGGGGGCAACCCUGAUCCAGCAAUGCCGCGUGUGUGAAGAAGGCCUUCGGGUUGUAAAGCACUUUUGUCCGGAA
rnacentral:rRNA from 1 species